CAGCAGCCGCGGUAAUACAGAGGGUGCGAGCGUUAAUCGGAUUUACUGGGCGUAAAGCGUGCGUAGGCGGCUUCUUAAGUCGGAUGUGAAAUCCAUGAGCUUAACUUAGGAAUUGCAUUCGAUACUGGGAAGCUAGAGUAUGGGAGAGGAUGGUAGAAUUCCAGGUGUAGCGGUGAAAUGCGUAGAGAUCUGGAGGAAUACCGAUGGCGAAGGCAGCCAUCUGGCCUAAUACUGACGCUGAGGUACGAAAGCAUGGGGAGCAAACAGGAUUAGAUACCCGAGUAGUCCCUGUCUCUUAUAA
rnacentral:rRNA from 1 species